rnacentral:tRNA from 1 species
AGCACGGUGGCACAGUGGGUUCAGCUGCUGCCUGCCAAGCAGUAUUCCCGAGAGCCCUGGUUCGAGUCCUGGCUGCUCUG